UUUGGAGGGCAAGUUUGGUGCCAGCAGCCGCGGUAAUUCCAGCUCCAAUAGCGUAUAUUAAAGUUGUUGCAGUUAAAAAGCUUGUAGUUGAAUUUCGGGAUUAGCAGGUCGGUCGUGCCUUUGGUAUGAACUGGUCUCGCUGAUUCCUCCCUCUUGACGAACCGUGAUGCCAUUAAUUUGGUGUCGCGGGGAAUCAGGACUGUUACUUUGAAAAAAUUAAAGUGUUUAAAGCAGG
rnacentral:rRNA from 1 species